UUUGAUUAUGGCUCAGGACGAACGCUGGCGGCGUGCUUAACACAUGCAAGUCGAACGCUGAAGCCCCGAGCUUGCUCGGGUGGAUGAGUGGCGAACGGGUGAGUAACACGUGAGUAACCUGCCCAUGUCUCUGGGAUAAGCGCUGGAAACGGCGUCUAAUACUGGAUACGAGCAUCCACUGCAUGGUGAGGUGUUGGAAAGAUUUAUCGGACAUGGAUGGACUCGCGGCCUAUCAGCUAGAUGGUGAGGUAAUGGCUCACCAUGGCGACGACGGGUAGCCGGCCUGAGAGGGUGACCGGCCACACUGGGACUGAGACACGGCCCAGACUCCUACGGGAGGCAGCAGUGGGGAAUAUUGCACAAUGGGCGCAAGCCUGAUGCAGCAACGCCGCGUGAGGGAUGACGGCCUUCGGGUUGUAAACCUCUUUUGUCAGGGAAGAAGCGAAAGUGACGGUACCUGGAGAAAAAGCACCGGCUAACUACGUGCCAGCAGCCGCGGUAAUACGUAGGGUGCAAGCGUUGUCCGGAAUUAUUGGGCGUAAAGAGCUCGUAGGCGGCUUGUCGCGUCUGCUGUGAAAACCCGAGGCUCAACCUCGGGCCUGCAGUGGGUACGGGCAGGCUAGAGUGCGGUAGGGGAGAUUGGAAUUCCUGGUGUAGCGGUGGAAUGCGCAGAUAUCAGGAGGAACACCGAUGGCGAAGGCAGAUCUCUGGGCCGCUACUGACGCUGAGGAGCGAAAGCAUGGGGAGCGAACAGGAUUAGAUACCCUGGUAGUCCAUGCCGUAAACGUUGGGAAACUAAAUGUAGGGCCUGUUCCAACGGGUUCUGUGUCGUAGCUAACGCAUUAAGUUCCCCGCCUGGGGAGUACGGCCGCAAGGCUAAAACUCAAAGGAAUUGACGGGGGCCCGCACAAGCGGCGGAGCAUGCGGAUUAAUUCGAUGCAACGCGAAGAACCUUACCAAGGCUUGACAUAUACGAGAACACUGCAGAGAUGCAGGACUCUUUGGACACUCGUAUACAGGUGGUGCAUGGUUGUCGUCAGCUCGUGUCGUGAGAUGUUCGGUUAAGUCCGGCAACGAGCGCAACCCUCGUCCUAUGUUGCCAGCACGUUAUGGUGGGAACUCAUGGGAUACUGCCGUGGUCAACACGGAGGAAGGUGGGGAUGACGUCAAAUCAUCAUGCCCCUUAUGUCUUGGGCUUCACGCAUGCUACAAUGGCCGAUACAAAGGGCUGCGAUACCGCGAGGUGGAGCGAAUCCCAAAAAGUCGGUCUCAGUUCGGAUUGGGGUCUGCAACUCGACCCCAUGAAGUCGGAGUCGCUAGUAAUCGCAGAUCAGCAACGCUGCGGUGAAUACGUUCCCGGGCCUUGUACACACCGCCCGUCAAGUCAUGAAAGUCGGUAACACCCGAAGCCGGUGGCCUAACCCCUUGUGGGAGGGAGCUGUCGAAGGUGGGACUGGUGAUUAGGACUAA
rnacentral:rRNA from 1 species